ensembl:ncRNA ZK84.13 ncRNA
UGCUGUCUCCGGUUAAACAUUGAAACCCUUCAAUAAAUUGCACGGGUCAUAAACUCGAUGCCCUCCUCCUCCCACACACGGCAACCUUCCUUUAUUCUCACUUUUCCCUCUUCUUGCAACUUCUUUACAACAAUCACGGGAGGAGUUGACAAUGAAGAUAAUGGGAUCCAAUAUCUGAAAAAA